rnacentral:rRNA from 1 species
UACGGGGGGGUAAGCGUUGUUCGGAAUUACUGGGCGUAAAGGGCUCGUAGGCGGCCAACUAAGUCAGACGUGAAAUCCCUCAGCUUAACUGGGGAACUGCGUCUGAUACUGGAUGGCUUGGAUUCGGGAGAGGAAUGCGGAAUUCCAGGUGUAGCGGUGAAAUGCGCAGAUAUCAGGAGGAACACCGGUGGCGAAGGCGGGUCUCUGGGCCGAUACUGACGCUGAGGAGCGAAAGCGUGGGGAGCAAACAGG